AUUGAACGCUGGCGGCAGGCCUAACACAUGCAAGUCGAGCGGGGUUUUCGGACCUAGCGGCGGACGGGUGAGUAAUGCGUAGGAAGCUACCCGAUAGAGGGGGAUACCAGUUGGAAACGACUGUUAAUACCGCAUAAUGUCUACGGACCAAAGUGUGGGACCUUCGGGCCACAUGCUAUCGGAUGCGCCUACGUGGGAUUAGCUAGUUGGUGGGGUAAUGGCUCACCAAGGCGACGAUCCCUAGCUGGUUUGAGAGGAUGAUCAGCCACACUGGAACUGAGACACGGUCCAGACUCCUACGGGAGGCAGCAGUGGGGAAUAUUGGACAAUGGGCGCAAGCCUGAUCCAGCCAUGCCGCGUGUGUGAAGAAGGCCUUCGGGUUGUAAAGCACUUUCAGCGAGGAGGAAGGGUUAGUAGUUAAUAGCUGCUAAUUUUGACGUUACUCGCAGAAGAAGCACCGGCUAACUCUGUGCCAGCCGCCGCGGUAAGAC
rnacentral:rRNA from 1 species